rnacentral:rRNA from 1 species
AGCUCUGUAAGCGUAUACCAAAGUUGUUGCAGUUAAAACGCUCGUAGUCGGACGUUGGCGGGCGCGGCAUUUCGACCUCACGGUUGUAUUUGCAGCGGCCGCCUUUGUGGAUGGGGGCUCGGUGGUGCUUCACUGCAUCGCCGGGUCGCUGCCACCGUUUACCGUGAAAAAAUUAGAGUGUUCAAAGCGGGCGUUUGCCAUGAAUACAUUAGCAUGGAAUAAUAGAAUAGGACCUGGUCCUGUUUUGUUGGUUUGUGAGUAUCAGGUAAUGAUUAAGAGGGACGGUUGGGGGCAUUUGUAUUCCGGCGUCAGAGGUGAAAUUCUUGGAUUGCCGGAAGACAAACAGCUGCGAAAGCGUCUGCCAAGGACGUUU